rnacentral:rRNA from 1 species
CAAUUUAAUAAAAAAGAGGGACGAAUGGCAAACUAGGAUGCAUAAAUAAGACGGAAUAUCUGAAAGAGCGAGGGAGAAGCUUUGAACUCGAUUGUCUGUGGCGGAAACGCUGGGAAAGUAAGCUGGAAACUGAAACAUCUAAGUACCCAGAGCCUAAGAGAAAUCAAACGAGAUUCCGUGAGUAGCGGCGAGCGAACGCGGAAGAGUCCCCAUGAGUAAAUAGUGGAAGAUAGGUGUCCACACAUCUAAGACUAAAUGUUUAUGCAUACCGAAAGAGUAGAGUACUGUGAAGGAAGGUUGAAAGAGACUUGAAAAGAUCUUAAAAUGAGUCCCUUAAAGCAGUUGUAGCACAACGUACCUUUUGUAUAAUGGGUUCACAAGACAAAAUUUGGCAAACUUAAGUAUCAAACGAAGGUGUAGUAAAACCAAGGGGAUACCCCCCUUCUAGUCAAAUUACCCGAAACCAAGUGACCUAGCCCCGGGCAGUCUAAAAGGACGAACCGGUGAUUGUAGCAAAAAUCUCGGAUGACCUGUGGCUAGGGGUGAAAGACUAAUCAAACUUGGAGAUAGCUGGUUUUCUGCGAAAACUAUUGAAGUAGUGCGUCCAAAAGCUUAAUUUUACAUGAUAAAGCUCAAUUGCUCUUUGAGCGAUUAACUCUGAAUGUUGAAAAUGAAGCUGGACAGACAGACAGCGGGCGACAAGGUCCACUGUCGAAAGGGUAAAGCCCUAAUCAGAAGUUAAAGCCACAAAUUGAAGUAGUCAAGUGUGAAAGGGAUGUGGAAUUUAGACAAUGAAAAACGUAGGCUUGGAGCCAGCCAUCUUUGAAAGACGACGUAAAAGUUCACUCAAGAAAUUCUUUAAUCUCUAAAAUUACGGUGGCUAAAGUUAAGCUGAAACUCUGAAGGCAAAGGCUUGGUAGCAGAACGGACUGUAAAAUUGGUUUGGUGAAAGCCAACCAUCAGAAGCGAUAAUGUGAACAUGAGUAAAAAAUCGUUGCAUCACUCCCCGAGGCUUCUCGCUGAAAGCGAGAGUAAACAGCCCCUAAGAUAGCAACCCUAGGUUGUGUCAACGGGCCUUAGAAAACGCACAAGGUGCCAGGAAAGAUUUAUGAAAUUUUACUGUACUAGUCUAACGCAAGUGGGGAAUAGUGAUGGGGGAAAGUUUUCUUAAGGAACUCGGCAAAACAUGGGCCUCGACUGUUUACCAAAAACAUAGCUCUCUGCAAAUAUGAAAGUAGAAGUAUGGAGGGUGAGGCCUGCCCAAUGGUUGUACCUAAAAGAGUUGAUAGGAGUCAGCUUCAUAAGGACAAUUGAAUGGCCGCGGUAACACUGACCGUGAUAAUGUAGCGUAAUCAAUAGCCAAUUAAUUGUUGGCCGGUAUGAAUGGCGUCACGAAGGCCCCACUGUCUCAAGAAGACCCCCCGUGAAAUUGAAUUCGUAGUGAAGAUGCUACGUCCAAAUUGUAAGACGAAAAGACCCCAUUGAGCUUUACUAGAAACUUGCAUUGCUUAAAUUAAAUAAAGAGUUUAGAUAAUGUGGAGCCCGCUUUAGGCUAAUGAAACACCACUCUUUUAUUUUAAGAGAGCUAACCUCCGGGGACAAUGCGAGUUAGAUAGUUUGGUUGGGGCGACCACCUUUUAAAAGGUAACGAAGGUGAGCUUAAGGUCCGUAGUUAAUAGCAAGUGGCCUGACUGAAAGGGGGACACCCCGAGCAGGCACUGGAAUCCAGUGGGCUAUAAUGACCCGUCGUCUUAGAGUGAAAUAGGUGACGAUCAACGGAUAAAAGCUACCAUGGGGAUAACAGCGUUAUAUCGUUAGAGAGUUUAAUCGACGACGAUGUUUGCGACCUCGAUGUUGAAUUGCGGCACCCUGGGGUGCAGCAGCCCCCAAGGGUUGGUCUGUUCGUCCAUUAAAGCCGUACAUGAUUUGAGUUAAAAGCGUGGCAACACAGCUUGGUUUCUAUCUACAAUAUGAAGAAACAUCGAUAUAACUAUCUUCUAGUACGAAAGGACCGAAGAAUUAGCGAUCCUCUUAUUUUGGUAAGUUACGAUCGAGCUCGGGUUAAUCACUGAUUGCCUCUUAAGUGUGAAAAGUAUAUCGAACUGUUUAAAACAUACGUUUAAAAAUAAG